GGAGGGAUGGCCGAGCGGUUAAAGGCGACGGACUGUAAAUCCGUUCUCAUUGAGUACGCAGGUUCGAAUCCUGCUCCCUCCACCA
rnacentral:tRNA from 1 species